rnacentral:piRNA from 1 species
UGUUCACCUAGGAGACAAUGAGAUGCC